rnacentral:misc_RNA from 1 species
CACCACAACAGAAAAGAGUCCGCUGUCGACAUGAGAAGCCAUCACUGUCGCCGCGCCAUCGCUUAACUGUUCCAAGAUGUCUGACCCUGUCCGUCGCCGAUAUGUCGACAGCGGCUACCCCUCCUAUGCGAGGCCGCACGCCUUCGAUGCCUAUGAUUCUGGCCCGCGAGAGACUGAUGUGGUAGAGCAGCAGCAGCAGCCGUCUCACCAGCCGCUGCGGCGCCGCGGCGCACCUGUUCCAGCUCCACAGCUGCUUUUGUCAGCUCGAUCGACUCCCUUGGCGAAGCGGCCGACCCCGGUAAAGACCCCGUGCAAGAGUGCGCCCUCCACGACAACGUCCUCCUUAAUCGAGUCGGUUCCCUGCACUAACUCCUCCGAGAGUAGAGACACAGCGACUGCGUCACCGCCACACGAUGACCAGCUAACGCAGCCGAACAAGACACAGCGGCCACUGCGCGCAUCCGCGUCGUCGGCGAGUACCUCCGCGUCUGUGAUGUCGCCCUUACAACAGCAGGUCGCGCGUGAGAGUCGGCAAAACGAGUACCGACACAGUAGCCCUGCUCUCCAAGGUGGGCAAUCACCAGCGACGCAGAUGACGCUGCUCCCCGCGCCGGCAAGAUCGAGCGAGCGUUCCGCGAGUGCGGUCCCGCCACCGGUGUCGCGACGCGCACAUCAGCGCUCUAGUCUGAGUACAACCCCGGGGGAGCAAUGGAGAGCAGACGGGCACCCGCCACGUCUGCCGACGUCGCGUGCACCUGGGCCUUCCAUGCUCACGGCGAAGGACCAGAUGACCAUCGGCCAUAGCCACCCCGCCGCCGUCUCACUUCACUCCGUUAGCCCCAUCCGCGGCCUGGAGCGUCACAAGGGACGUGUUGACCAGGCCAGGAGCCCCGCACCACGCACAAGCAGUAGCACACCUCGCAGUAGCACCGCGGCAAGUAACGUCCCUCGUGCGCCGUUUCACAAGCGGCAACAGGCGCAAGCGCUGAGUCCGGCCGCCCACUCACCGACGACACGUGGAUCCUCCACGGUUGUGGCAGGGCCAGCCAGAGCAACGGCGGACAGGCGUGUGGUCGCCGCACCGGCACCCAACAAGGCUGACGCGCAGCUGAUGGCUCAAAAGGAGCUGCGCCGCCAGGGCGAGAUCCGAGGCCAAGGUUACGUUGCGCAGACGGCGUACACCCAGCGAAACCCCUUUCGCAGACAGGACUUUGCAGAGUUCGCGGAGAACCCGCAGUACCUCCCGCCACCUGGAUUCCGUAUCUACCCGCAGGCGAUGGCCACGCGGGUCUACGGCCUCGAGGUCAGCCGCGCAAGCCAAGGGGAUUGCAUGAUGCAGCGUCUUCUCGACGCGGCGCACCCGUCAACGGCCGAGGAGCGGGCCGAAAUGGAAGUGCUGCUGAGCGCAACACUCGAGAAACUGCAGCUUGGUGACUGGUUCUACAAGUGGACGCGCAUCAAACACGUGCACCAGCGCUACGUCUGGCUGAACCUGCAGCGCGGCACUCUCAUGUGGUCCCUUUCGUCGAAGAAGAGCGCUGUCCUCAGUUCCGAGGUGAAGCUGUCCACCAUCACGAGCGUAACGCCGGAGUGCCUGCAGCUGGAGGCGCCGGUGCGCUUCUUCUACCGCAUGAACAUCAACACACCACACCGCUGCAUCAGCCUCGCGACGGAGAUUCGAAGCAAGUUCGACGUUUGGUACCAUGUGCUGCAGCAGCUGACGGCGCCGAACUCGACGUAUGGCGUGCCCGGCGUGUGGGGACGACCGUCGAGCAGUGCGAACGCGGCUGGGUGGGGUGCAGCAAGCCGGUGGGCGUCCCGCUACAGUCCGCUGGCCGCCGUGGUGGACAAUACAACAGGCUCCACCGGCUACAACGAAGCGUACGCGCACGGUGCCGUCUCCUCCAGUGACUGAGGGCAGGGAGAGCGAUGUGUCGGCCGCUGGCAGUGGCGUGUUCACCACCCUCACUCCCGCAUGUGUGUGCGCGCGUGGGUGUGUGGGCGAGUGUCUCUGCUUUCCCCGUCCAGUGGGAGCAAAAUAUGCUGCCUUCCACUUCGUCUUCCUCUUUCGCCUAGCGUACUGUGGCUGACGUGCGUGCCCGACAAGGGCGUGCGCCCUCGCGCGUUCAGCCUCACACCCAGCGUUGCGCCCAGAUUUAGAGACAGUAAGGCAACACACUACGGAACGGUGUUGCCUUUACUGCUACAGCUGCUGCUGCUCAUGCCGGCCCUUCUCUCGUUUUUUCUUCUCCAUUCAAGCCACCCGUUCGUGCGAGCUUCACUCAGACUGCUCGGUGUUGCGGAUUUAGACACGCAUGCAUACGCCAUCCACACUGCAAAAAACGGGCAGGCUGAUUCGUGCCAUCCGGGCGCGCGUGCGCUCGUGUGGAAGUCUGUGCGUGUGGCGUGAGUGGCAGAGCGCCUGCAAUCCGCGGUCACGCGUGGAAGGGAGAGAAACAGAGGGAGG